rnacentral:rRNA from 1 species
GAGGAAAAGAAACCAACUGGGAUUACCUUAGUAACGGCGAGUGAAGCGGUAAAAGCUCAAAUUUGAAAUCUGGUACUUUCAGUGCCCGAGUUGUAAUUUGUAGAAUUUGUCUUUGAUUAGGUCCUUGUCUAUGUUCCUUGGAACAGGACGUCAUAGAGGGUGAGAAUCCCGUUUGGCGAGGAUACCUUUUCUCUGUAAGACUUUUUCGAAGAGUCGAGUUGUUUGGGAAUGCAGCUCAAAGUGGGUGGUAAAUUCCAUCUAAAGCUAAAUAUUGGCGAGAGACCGAUAGCGAACAAGUACAGUGAUGGAAAGAUGAAAAGAACUUUGAAAAGAGAGUGAAAAAGUACGUGAAAUUGUUGAAAGGGAAGGGCAUUUGAUCAGACAUGGUGUUUUUUGCAUGCACUCGCCUCUCGUGGGCUUGGGCCUCUCAAAAAUUUCACUGGGCCAACAUCAAUUCUGGCAGUAGGAUAAAUCAUUAAGAAUGUAGCUACCUCGGUAGUGUUAUAGCUUAUUGGAAUACUGCUAGCUGGGAUUGAGGACUGCGCUUCGGCAAGGAUGUUGGCAUAAUGGUUAAAUGCCGCCCGUCUG